GUGAGGGGGCGGGCGAGGCGCCGCCUCGGACCGCGGCGCUAACUGGCUGCGGACCGGAGCCCCAGCGCCACGGGCGCCGCUCCCAAUGCUGAUUGGUGGCGGCUGGGGAGGGGGCGUGCGCGGCACGCGCAGCGGGGAGGUGAGGGAAAGUAGGGGAGAGCCGACCCAGGCGGAGGCUCGCCUCGAUUCCAGAGCUGGACCCUGGGCUGGAACAGGUGAUCAGGCCUGGGCCUCCCUGGGUCUGGUGGUGAGGGUCGCCGAAGACAGGGUUCGGGAUGGCGGGCGGGGGAUGCCCCAGGGUUUACUCACCCACCUUCCAGCCUAGGAUGGCCCUGGGCUGCGGACUGAGAAGCCCUCUUUUUGCCUCCUAGCUUCUCGCCAACUUGCGCAAGAAAAGCCGUGGAAGGUAGGACACGGGGGAGAUCUCAGGAUGCACCUCUUACAACGUAGCCGCCCAGCGACCCAGUAACUUUGAUCGCACAGGGCUCAGGAACGUUUUCUGGCGAAUGAAAUACUCACAAACCUCCAAGGCUCAGAGAGCUUUCGGUUUUAGUAAAUAGCGGAGGUGCGCUGGAGUUUCCCACAGGACUAGAGCCUUCCUACAGGUGUUCAGUCUGGGGCCAUUCGCUGGUGACUUAGGUUGGAGUGAGGGCAGGGCCAGAAAAUCGUCUCAUCCGUCACAGAGGUUAGGACAGUGAUGAUGAUGAUGGGUGUGAAGCCUCUCUCCCCUGGGGGGUCUGGAUUGAAAUCUAGGGUGUAUGCAAUUUGAAAAAUAGCAUAUCCAACAUUAUAAUUUAAUGCUUUGAGGCAAAUAAGAUUUUUAUUUGUAAAAACAUUGGAGAACAAAAUGUAGAUACUUUUUGAUUGACUGAUAGGAUGACAGGUUGUCUUGCCUUUCCCAGGAAGAGGUAAUUUUUUUCCCCCUUUAAGAUCAAAAGAAGGAAAGUUUUGAGGCACUGAGGGCUCUUCUAGGAUGUGACCUAGAUAUUGCACAGUAAAAUGCAUGGUCUGGGCCAGUGGCAGGUCAAGGCUUUCCUUCCCGGGCUCUGGACCGUGCAGUGGGUAUUGAAACUAAGAGAUGGGAUCCCUGAGGUCGGAAGCCCUGGUUAGGCCCGAAGUCACACUUCCAGGUCUGGCUGUACCCUUCAGGUUUAGGAUGGCCUGGCAGAGGAUGCUAAUGUUGGCCUGGGCUGACAUUAAAAUGAAUGAGUGGGUGAAUCAGUGUUAGUGGUGGAAGAGGUCUUUGGGCUCAUUACUACUAGUCUUUACAGAUGAAGAAAAUGAGCUUCUGAAGAGAAAGACUUUUUUGAGGUUACACAGUUAACUGUGUGACAGCCACCACCAGGACUGGGGCCCAAUCUCUCUUGACCCUGUGGCUUCCCCACCAUACCAUGUCUAGAAGAUAUUUCAAGAGAUGGAAUUGGUACAUGCAUGGACAGAAUUCAAAUGCAGAGCAAGGGAAGGUGGAAAGAGUAAUGAGAUGGUCUGAUGUGCCUGUGGCUUGGGCCCCUACCUGCAGGAAGCAAUCCAAGGCCUGCUGGCAGGCACAGGGAAGGACUUGAGGCAGUAAAGUGGUGCCUGUUCUGAUCACCUGUUGGGUUAGGGCUCUUAGCCCCGGACAAAAGGUGAUAUGAGACCUGCAACCAGGCAGUAGUACAAUCCACUUGCCCAUACAGUUCCUCAUUCAAGUUUGUGUUGGCACUCAAGUUAAAAAGUCAUCCUUUAUUUCUUCCCCCUCUUCCACGAAAAAUAAAUAGAAGAGCCCAAGUGCUCUGGGACUCCCACAGAAGCCUGGCAGGUUUGCUGACACUGAACUUGAGCUCUUCUUGCAGGCCCCAGAGUGGUAUGAAGAUUAUUAUUCUAUAAAUGGAAAAUUCCACCGUGAUCCUGCACCUGCAUAUCUCCAAGGGAUGCAGACUUUUUGAGCUCUGAAGAGUGGGAACCAUCAUUCUGAGAAAAAGUUCAGCAAGGAAAGUUUAAAACUACUGUGUCUGCUCCCUCUGGGUCAGGCCCAACGAAGGAAGGCAAACAAACGGAGACCUUCUUUCUUGCCCCACAUAGUUCUUAUGUAAUGGAAUGAGGAGAAUAAGAACUUGGAUAUUAACUUGAAUAAGAACAAAUGCCUUGCUGGGGACUUGCAGCCUGAGUGAGUGGGCAGUGGUGACAGGACAGAGAUGCCCCAGAAGGAAGUGGAAGGAACAAGUGUGUUCUGGAGUCUGGCCACGUGCUAUUUCCGUGGCUGCUCACCUUGCUCGUUGUCACCGUUGCCCGCUGUCAAGCAGGCAUUUGGCCCAAAAGGAAAGUCUGAAAGUGGAAGCGAAGCAUAAAGGUGUUUGUCAUGGGCGCAUGCUGGGCAUAGUACCCUGGAAGCCUUUGCUGUUAGUCACCAUAGAAGGGGCAAAGUGGCAGCUGCUCCAGCUCUGGGAGUCUGGAACGAAACAGGUGGAAGUAGCCAGGGUGUGGACAUUUCUCCAGAGGACACCCUCAGACAGUCAAGGCAAGAAGACGGCCAGGGCUGUUUCCUUUGCUGGCAGAAGAGCUGAACCCUGAGAGACUGCACACAGGCCUUGUGCUCUUCAGAAGCAUGAAGUCAGCCCUGCGGAAUGAGGCAGCUUGGCUGGUGUCCAGCAGCUCUAGAGGUGCUGUUUGUCGGGCUCUGGGUUCUUGCUGGCCUGCUUGCCAAGCUUUUGCAAGGGGCCAGAAGUGCUUUAGUUGCCCCAGCUGUGGGGUUGCAGGGGUGAGGAGGGGCUGGCAUGGGGGGGAUCUUGCCUGCAGAGUGUUGACUCUGUCCAUGUCAUGCCUCUGGAAGCAUCCCUUGCUGAAAUGGGGAGCUUGCUGGGCCAGGUUGCAAAGACACAGGUGGCCUUGGAUGAGGAACCUAACGCCUCUGAGCCACAGCUCUUUCCUCUGAAAAGUGAAGGGACUCCUCAUGUAAAGUGGCAGCCGCUUACAGGUUUAAGACAAGCAGAAAACAUCUCAUUUCCCCUGGUCACAGUGGGGGUAAGAAGAGGGCUGCUGACCCAGUCCUGGGGUGACUUGGUGACUGUUUGCACAAGAUAACUCAGCAUACUGGAAGCGUACACUUCCUUGUUUGAGCCACUUGGAGCUGGGUAUUCUUGUAGCUGACUCGGUUGACAAAAUUGCCUGUGUGUAGACAAGGUCUCAAAGGGAUAGGGGGGAUUGAGGGCAGGUGCUUUAGGGUAUCACUUUCCCCUGCCUGUGGGCUAAAGGCUCCCAGCUGAUAGGAAUAAUUCCUCUACGUGUCUCUCCAGCGGCUCCCACCUCGCCCAGCUGCCCUGUAGGGCUAGGGCUGAUUCGCUCUGCUACUGCAGAGACUCCUGCUGCUAAGAAGUAGCAGGGCUGAGACUUGCACCUUUGUUGUUCUCACUCCAAGCUGGGUGUGUGCCUCUUCAGAUGCACCAGGUCGUUCUUGGGGUAGCUGAGUUUCUGCUAGGGGGGUUGGAAAGGCCAGCAGUGCACAGCAGUGGGAAGGGACAGAGCAAGUACCACUUGGGGCAAAAUGGGUACAUCACAUACCAUGUCAGAUGUCCCCCAAACAAAAUCAAGUCCAUUUAAAAGCACUCUAGUGGGGCACGGUGGCACAUUCCUUUAAUCCCAGCAAUUUGGAGGCUAGGGCAGGAGGGUUACAAGCUCAAGGCUAGUCUGGACAAUUUAGUGAGACUUUGUUUCAAAAUAAAAAGGGUUGAGGGUGUAGCUCAGCAGCAGAGCACUUGCCUAGACUGUGGGAGUCUCUGGGUCUGAUCUCCAGCAUGGCCAAAAACCAAAUAAAAAAUAAAUAAAUUUACCAUAUGACCUGUACUCUUAGAGCAUGUAUGUGCCCAAGAGAAAUGAAAACAGAGGUCCAAAGCCUAGUACACCAGUAUUCUUAGCAGAAUCAUUCAUAAUAGCCUGAAUAUAAUCCACCAACUGAUGAAUAAACAAAGUGUGGUAUAUCCACAGAAUGAA